rnacentral:rRNA from 1 species
GACGAACGCUGGCGGCGUGCUUAACACAUCCAAGUCGAACGGAAAGGCCCUGCUUUUGUGGGGUGCUCGAGUGGCGAACGGGUGAGUAACACGUGAGUAACCUGCCCUUGACUUUGGGAUAACUUCAGGAAACUGGGGCUAAUACCGGAUAGGAGCUCCUGCUGCAUGGUGGGGGUUGGAAAGUUUCGGCGGUUGGGGAUGGACUCGCGGCUUAUCAGCUUGUUGGUGGGGUAUGGCUUACCAAGGCUUUGACGGGUAGCCGGCCUGAGAGGGUGACCGGCCACAUUGGGACUGAGAUACGGCCCAGACUCCUACGGGAGGCAGCAGUGGGGAAUAUUGCACAAUGGGCGGAAGCCUGAUGCAGCAACGCCGCGUGCGGGAUGACGGCCUUCGGGUUGUAAACCGCUUUCGCCUGUGACGAAGCGUGAGUGACGGUAAUGGGUAAAGAAGCACCGGCUAACUACGUG